rnacentral:rRNA from 1 species
UGAAUACGAGACGCUAAGGCGUCGAAGUAGUGUAUGUCAUACUUCCAAGAAAAGCUUGCACUGUCAUAGAUAAAAAACGCCUGUACCAUAACCGACACAGGUGGGUAGGUAGAGUAUACUAAGGGGCGCGAGAUAACUCUCUCUAAGGAACUCGGCAAAAUAACUCCGUAACUUCGGGAGAAGGAGUGCCUUAUUCGUAAGGUUGCAAUAACAAGAUCCAAGCAACUGUUUAUCAAAAACACAGGUCUCCGCAAAGUCGUAAGACGAUGUAUGGGGGCUGACGCCUGCCCAGUGCCAGAAGGUUAAAGAAGUUGGUUAGCAAUUGCGAAGCUGAUAACUGAAGCCCUGGUGAACGGCGGCCGUAACGAUAACGGUCCUAAGGUAGCGAAAUUCCUUGUCGGGUAAGUUCCGACCCGCACGAAAGGCGUAAUGAUUUGGAUACUGUCUCGGAGAGGGGCUCGGUGAAAUAGACUUGUCUGUGAAGAUGCGGACUACCUGCACCAGGACAGAAAGACCCUAUGAAGCUUUACUGUAACUUGAAAUUGAAAUUGGACUUUAUUCGCGCAGCAUAGGUGGGAGGCGUUGAUUAUAAUCUUGCGGGAUUAUUGGAGCCAUCAGUGAGAUACCACUCUUGUAAUGUUAGAUUUCUAACUUUGAAUCAUUAUCUGGUCAAAGAACAGUUUCAGGCGGGCAGUUUGACUGGGGCGGUCGCCUCCUAAACGGUAACGGAGGCGUACAAAGGUUUCCUCUGAACGGUUAGAAAUCGUAUCUAGAGUGUAAAGGCAUAAGGAAGCUUGACUGUGAGACCUACAAGUCGAGCAGGGACGAAAGUCGGUCUUAGUGAUCUACGGUACUGAGUGGAAAGGCCGUCACUCAACGGAUAAAAGUUACUCUAGGAUAACAGGCUGAUCUCCCCCAAGAGUUCACAUCGACGGGGAGGUUUGGCACCUCGAUGUCGGCUCAUCGCAUCCUGGGGCGGUAGUACGUCCCAAGGGUUGGGCUGUUCGCCCAUGAAAGCGGUACGCGAGCUGGGUUCAGAACGUCGUGAGACAGUUCGGUCCAUAUCCGGUGUAGGCGUUAGAAUAUUGAGAGGAGCCUUCUUUAGUACGAGAGGACCGAGAAGGACAUACCUCUGGUGUACCAGUUAUCGUGCCAACGGUAAACGCUGGGUAGCUAUGUAUGGAGUGGAUAACCGCUGAAAGCAUCUAAGUGGGAAGCCCACCUCAAGAUAAGUAUUCUCAC